UAAGGAAUAUUGGUCAAUGGACGCAAGUCUGAACCAGCCAUGCCGCGUGGAGGAUGAAGGUCCUCUGGAUUGUAAACUUCUUUUCUCUGGGAAGAAAUCCAUGGUUUCUACUGUGGUUGACGGUACCAGAGGAAUAAGCACCGGCUAACUCCGUGCCAGCAGCCGCGGUAAUACGGAGGGUGCAAGCGUUAUCCGGAUUUACUGGGUUUAAAGGGCGCGUAGGCGGACAGGUAAGUCCGUGGUGAAAUCUCCGAGCUUAACUUGGAAACUGCCAUGGAUACUAUUUGUCUUGAAUAUCGUGGAGGUGAGCGGAAUACGUCAUGUAGCGGUGAAAUGCUUAGAUAUGACGUGGAACACCAAUUGCGAAGGCAGCUCACUACGCGAUUAUUGACGCUGAUGCACGAAAGCGUGGGUAGCAAAC
rnacentral:rRNA from 1 species